rnacentral:lncRNA from 1 species
AGUACUUGCUGUUUGUGUCUCACCUGGGUUAUUUUUGCUCCACAAGUCGGUCCUCAGGGGCACUUCACUCGGCCAUAUAUUUCUGGUCCAUUGAGUCUAUUAGAGACCUCCAGUUCUUUCUGUCUUCUUUCUCCUUCUCCUUCUCCUUCUCCUCCUUCUUCUUCUCUCUUCUUCCUCUAACUUUUUCCUUGUGGUCCCUACCUGAGAUCCCCAGCCUGGUAACUGAACGCCUAACUCUAUUCUUCCCAGUAAUUGGCUGUAGCUUCUUUUAUUUAAACAGUCAGAGAAGACUGGAGAGUAAAAUUUAUACAACAUCAUUUUGUUCCAUGUGCUCAUGGAACUGUGAGCAAAUCUUGGAGGACAGUUUCAUAGCAGCAUUAGAAAC